UUGUACAGCGGAUUUUUGACAUUCUAUCUACGUAGAAACGAUGAAGAAAACUCUAUAUCUUAUUACUUUAUUUUUUUUAUCAAGCGAUACACAAGAUUGUCUAUUCCUUUGCUUUUCUUAUUGGCUUUCUUCAUAAUUCUGCCAAUCUGUGAUGAAGGACCACACUGGGAUCUCGUAUACUCAUAUGCACAAACAGCUGAACAACACUGGUGGAGAUACAUUCUUCAUUUUAUGAAUUUCAGCUACUCUAAACCAUCUUUUAUCUCACACACGUGGUUUCUUAAUGUAUUGAUGCAAUUAACUGUAAUCACAGUUCCUUUGUUAUACAUUCAUGACAGGUACAAAUACU